GUACAUGUAUUAGGACAAGAUUAUCUAUUGGUCCUUAAUAUUGUAUUUUAUUACGAAUGUACAAAAUUUUUUCUCUAAAAAAAUUUUUGAUUGGUCCCAAAUUGUAAUUCAGAGCCUUGAGCUGGAAAAAGUACCGUCAAAAUAAAUAUUAAAAUUUUAGUAAUGUGUUUUUAUUUCACCAAAUCUAUACAGCGCCUUGUUUCUAUUUUAUUUUAAUUUUCUGAAAAAUUAGAAGUAAACAAAGACGUCUGUAUGGCGUUUUCCUCAUAGUGUGCAGCAGCUGGUUAUAAAUUUACCCUAGAGCUCAAUCAUGUACGCACAAAUAUCAGCAGAUGCACAGCGAGUGAGGGAGCAACUUAGACAAUUGCGUACGCAGCUUUGCCAAUUGUAGAAGGCUUCUUCCUCGGGUUACUGUAGAUUUACCCUAAUAUCUGUUUAUCUUUCUCGAACGCGAAUUUGAGAUUUCUGAAGAAUAAAGUUACAAGGGAAGAUGCAAGUUUGGAAAAUGCACAAGCCCAUUAUUAUUUUGCUAAGAACGUUUUGUAAAACUUAACAUCAUAUGCUAUCUCGGGAAUUUAAUUUGUUAAGUUUUUUUUUUUGUUUAGCAAAUAUUGAAACUAUUGAUAUUAGCUCGGGAUGUUAAUUGGUUAAGUUUUUUUGGUUUAGCCAAUAUUGAAACUAUAUCUAUCAUCCUUUGACAUUUUCAAUAGCAAUUUUAUAUUUAGCAAUGAAAUAUAUAACUUUUAUGA